GACGUAGGAGGCGAGCGUUGUCCGGAUUCAUUGGGCGUAAAGAGCACGCAGGCGGUUUGGCAGUCGGAUGUGAAAACCCGAAGCUCAACUUCGGGCCUGCAUCCGAAACUGCCCGACUAGAGGUAGGUAGGGGAGAUCGGAAUUCCUGGUGUAGCGGUGAAAUGCGCAGAUAUCAGGAGGAACACCGGUGGCGAAGGCGGAUCCCUGGGCCUUACCUGACGCUCAGGUGCGAAAGCUAGGGGAGCGAACAGG
rnacentral:rRNA from 1 species